UCCAUUCUUUGUAUUUAUUAUCUAUUAAAAAUUAAUAGGUUAAGGAUAGAAAAUAAAGUGCUCAUUCCUCCGUACGACGAUAUUGGUUAAUAACACGAUGUUAUAUACGUGUGAGUACAUCCCUCUCUUCGAACGAAAGAGGAACGCGUUCAUUCGUGUGUACGCACGCGCCGCCUAGAGGCCAAGCAGUGCGUUGACCUUCGCUAAGGAUGUGCCCAUGUCCCCAGGCCGGGUCACACUCGAGUCUUGCGAUCGUAGGAAAACAUGUACGACAGAAGUACACACCGCACGUGUCGCGAACUCAUUUUGAAGAUUCGUUCACAUCGAAACAAGUUAAAAGAGUACAUAGUAAUCAAGAAAAAUACGAAAAGGAAAAAUAUAGCACGUACGUGUGAAAGCAUCUUUAAUCUUGUUUUCAUCGAAGUCACUCGGUCUCGUCUCCUUUCGGAGCUUUCUUCUUCUGCUGCCCUGCUUCCAAGUAUUUGCUAAAGGCGGUACGACGUUACGAGAGACUCCACCCAUAAGGCUGACACGAACACGUCCAAUACCCGGAUCCUUCUCUCUUUUAGAUAGCACCUUACCAAGAAGGAUAUAAAGGUAUCAUGAUGGUCACACUCGACUGAAGUUACCCGGUCGAGGUCACUAGGAGAUCAGAUUCAUCGAGAAGUCGUUGAAUCGCGGAAGAGGACCAUGCCGUUACGUUUUAAUAAAUCAUUCUUCGUCAGGUGUAUAGUUUAAGAAGUUUUAAUAGUUCUUUUAUAAAUUAGAUCAGACUAAUUACGCAUCUUUAUGAUUGAGAAGAUCUUACGGAUAAAACUGUUAUUAUUUUGUUUAUUAGUAAGUUUUUUAUUGAUCAAUUAACAAAGAAAAUGUGAUGUAGGUGGAGUAACGUUUAGUUUUAAUUUUUAUCAACGAACAAAUAUAUUCAGAAGAGAACUUUAUUGAGAAGAAAAUGAUAACAAUCAAGAAUAAACUAAUCGAUGAAAAUAUAGAUCAGGUGUCUCGUGUAUAACUUUCGUGAAAAUAAGGGAGUCAAGGGAGAAAAAAUAGAAGAGAAGAGUAUAAGAUAAGGGACUCUGGCUGGUAGUACGCAACGAUGAAAAUUUAUUCGUCGCACGUGCGAAAUAUCAAGUUUGCUGUUAAGACACUUGAAAGGUUUACGCGCUUCGAUACGUGCUGCAAUACGUCGUCGUAUCCCAUUGCGGAUAUAACGAUCGUUGUGUGCAGUGCCGUAGCGAGUAUGCCGGACUCGAUCGAAGAACGAUCGGCUGAUGAAAGGGGAAGAGAUGGAAGACUAUAUACAUAAGAGGGGAAACAGUCAUAGAAGAGGGUAAGUCUCGAAAGGGUUGACACGUGCGUGAAAUGCGUAUCACCCUCAUGUCUUCCCCGUCAUCAUCAUAAUCAACAUCGUUGUUGUAGUCAUCAUAGUCAUCAUAGUCGCCUCGUCCUCCUUAUUUCAGUGAGGGCUACGCACAGGUGCGCGUGAGCGUGCAAGGAUUAAGAGGACGUCUCGUUGAAGCUUCGCGAAGAUGAGAGCAAGUCUCUAACUUCGCAAGGAGGGUGAGGGAGAGA